UGGGGAAUCUUGGACAAUGGGGGCAACCCUGAUCCAGCCAUGCCGCGUGAGUGAUGAAGGCCUUAGGGUCGUAAAGCUCUUUCGCCUGUGAAGAUAAUGACGGUAGCAGGUAAAGAAACCCCGGCUAACUCCGUGCCAGCAGCCGCGGUAAUACGGAGGGGGUUAGCGUUGUUCGGAAUUACUGGGCGUAAAGCGCACGUAGGCGGACCAGAAAGUUGGGGGUGAAAUCCCGGGGGCUCAACCCCGGAACUGCCUCCAAAACUAUUGGUCUAGAGUUCGAGAGAGGUGAGUGGAAUUCCAAGUGUAGAGGUGAAAUUCGUAGAUAUUUGGAGGAACACCAGUGGCGAAGGCGGCUCACUGGCUCGAUACUGACGCUGAGGUGCGAAAAGUGUGGGGAGCAAAACAGGAUUAGAUACCCUGGUAGUCCACACCGUAAAACGAUGAAUGCCAGUCGUCGGGUAGCAUGCUAUUCGGUGACACACCUAACGGAUUAAGCAUUCCGCCU
rnacentral:rRNA from 1 species